UUUUUUCCUGCUCAGGAUGAACGCUGGCGGCGUGCUUAACACAUGCAAGUCGAACGGUGAAGGAGAGCUUGCUCUCUGGAUCAGUGGCGAACGGGUGAGUAACACGUGAGCAAUCUGCCCCUGACUCUGGGAUAAGCGCUGGAAACGGCGUCUAAUACUGGAUACGAGCUGCGACCGCAUGGUCAGCAGUUGGAAAGAAUUUCGGUCAGGGAUGAGCUCGCGGCCUAUCAGCUUGUUGGUGAGGUAAUGGCUCACCAAGGCGUCGACGGGUAGCCGGCCUGAGAGGGUGACCGGCCACACUGGGACUGAGACACGGCCCAGACUCCUACGGGAGGCAGCAGUGGGGAAUAUUGCACAAUGGGCGCAAGCCUGAUGCAGCAACGCCGCGUGAGGGACGACGGCCUUCGGGUUGUAAACCUCUUUUAGCAGGGAAGAAGCGAGAGUGACGGUACCUGCAGAAAAAGCACCGGCUAACUACGUGCCAGCAGCCGCGGUAAUACGUAGGGUGCAAGCGUUAUCCGGAAUUAUUGGGCGUAAAGAGCUCGUAGGCGGUUUGUCGCGUCUGCUGUGAAAACCCGAGGCUCAACCUCGGGCCUGCAGUGGGUACGGGCAGACUAGAGUGCGGUAGGGGAGAUUGGAAUUCCUGGUGUAGCGGUGGAAUGCGCAGAUAUCAGGAGGAACACCGAUGGCGAAGGCAGAUCUCUGGGCCGUAACUGACGCUGAGGAGCGAAAGGGUGGGGAGCAAACAGGCUUAGAUACCCUGGUAGUCCACCCCGUAAACGUUGGGAACUAGUUGUGGGGUCCAUUCCACGGAUUCCGUGACGCAGCUAACGCAUUAAGUUCCCCGCCUGGGGAGUACGGCCGCAAGGCUAAAACUCAAAGGAAUUGACGGGGACCCGCACAAGCGGCGGAGCAUGCGGAUUAAUUCGAUGCAACGCGAAGAACCUUACCAAGGCUUGACAUAUAGAGGAAACGUCUGGAAACAGUCGCCCCGCAAGGUCUCUAUACAGGUGGUGCAUGGUUGUCGUCAGCUCGUGUCGUGAGAUGUUGGGUUAAGUCCCGCAACGAGCGCAACCCUCGUUCUAUGUUGCCAGCACGUAAUGGUGGGAACUCAUGGGAUACUGCCGGGGUCAACUCGGAGGAAGGUGGGGAUGACGUCAAAUCAUCAUGCCCCUUAUGUCUUGGGCUUCACGCAUGCUACAAUGGCCGGUACAAAGGGCUGCAAUACCGUGAGGUGGAGCGAAUCCCAAAAAGCCGGUCCCAGUUCGGAUUGAGGUCUGCAACUCGACCUCAUGAAGUCGGAGUCGCUAGUAAUCGCAGAUCAGCAACGCUGCGGUGAAUACGUUCCCGGGUCUUGUACACACCGCCCGUCAAGUCAUGAAAGUCGGUAACACCUGAAGCCGGUGGCCCAACCCUUGUGGAGGGAGCCGUCGAAGGUGGGAUCGGUAAUUAGGACUAAGUCUAAAAGGGG
rnacentral:rRNA from 1 species